CAUGCCGUAAACGUUGGGCGCUAGGUGUGGGACUCAUUCCACGAGUUCCGUGCCGCAGCUAACGCAUUAAGCGCCCCGCCUGGGGAGUACGGCCGCAAGGCUAAAACUCAAAGGAAUUGACGGGGGCCCGCACAAGCGGCGGAGCAUGUGGAUUAAUUCGAUGCAACGCGAAGAACCUUACCAAGGCUUGACAUAUACCGGAAACACUUGGAAACAAGUGCCCCGCAAGGUCGGUAUACAGGUGG
rnacentral:rRNA from 1 species